rnacentral:rRNA from 1 species
AGGUAAGCUACUAAGAGCGAAUGGUGGAUGCCUUGACUGGUAAAGGCGAUGAAGGACGUACUAGACUGCGAUAAGCUACGGGGAGCUGUCAAGAAGCUUUGAUCCGUAGAUUUCCGAAUGGGGCAACCCAAUGUAUAGAGAUAUACAUUACCUAUAUAGGAGCGAACGAGGGGAAUUGAAACAUCUUAGUACCCUCAGGAAAAGAAAUCAAUAGAGAUUGCGUCAGUAGCGGCGAGCGAAAGCGCAAGAGGGCAAACCCAGUGCUUGCACUGGGGGUUGUAGGACUGCAAUGUGCAAGAGGUAAGUUUAGCAGAACAUUCUGGAAAGUAUAACCAUAGAGGGUGAUAGUCCCGUAUGCGAAAAACAAACCUUAGCUAGCAGUAUCCUGAGUAGGGCGGGACACGAGGAAUCCUGUCUGAAUCCGGGUCGACCACGAUCCAACCCUAAAUACUAAUACCAGAUCGAUAGUGCACAAGUACCGUGAGGGAAAGGUGAAAAGAACUGAGGUGAUCAGAGUGAAAUAGAACCUGAAACCAUUUGCUUACAAUCAUUCAGAGCCCUAUGUAGCAAUACAGGGUGAUGGACUGCCUUUUGCAUAAUGAGCCUGCGAGUUGUGGUGUCUGGCAAGGUUAAGCAAACGCGAAGCCGUAGCGAAAGCGAGUCUGAAUAGGGCGCUUAGUCAGAUGCUGCAGACCCGAAACGAAGUGAUCUAUCCAUGAGCAAGUUGAAGCUAGUGUAAGAACUAGUGGAGGACUGAACCCAUAGGCGUUGAAAAGCCCCGGGAUGACUUGUGGAUAGGGGUGAAAGGCCAAUCAAACUUCGUGAUAGCUGGUUCUCUCCGAAAUAUAUUUAGGUAUAGCGUUGUGUCGUAAUAUAAGGGGGUAGAGCACUGAAUGGGCUAGGGCAUACACCAAUGUACCAAACCCUAUCAAACUCCGAAUACCUUAUAUGUAAUCACAGCAGUCAGGCGGCGAGUGAUAAAAUCCGUCGUCAAGAGGGAAACAACCCAGACUACCAGCUAAGGUCCCUAAAUCUUACUUAAGUGGAAAACGAUGUGAAGUUACUUAAACAACCAGGAGGUUGGCUUAGAAGCAGCCAUCCUUUAAAGAAAGCGUAAUAGCUCACUGGUCUAGUGAUUUUGCGCGGAAAAUAUAACGGGGCUAAAGUAAGUACCGAAGCUGUAGACUUAGUUUACUAAGUGGUAGGAGAGCGUUCUAUUUGCGUCGAAGGUAUACCGGUAAGGAGUGCUGGAGCGAAUAGAAGUGAGCAUGCAGGCAUGAGUAGCGAUAAUUAAUGUGAGAAUCAUUAACGCCGUAAACCCAAGGUUUCCUACGCGAUGCUCGUCAUCGUAGGGUUAGUCGGGUCCUAAGUCGAGUCCGAAAGGGGUAGACGAUGGCAAAUUGGUUAAUAUUCCAAUACCAACAUUAGUGUGCGAUGGAAGGACGCUUAGGGCUAAGGGGGCUAGCGGAUGGAAGUGCUAGUCUAAGGUCGUAGGAGGUUAUAC